AGCUCUGCGCGCGCCGCGACUUUCCAUUGGUUCUCCGAGAGGUGGCCUACAAUGAGCCCGCCGAUUGGCCGCAGCUGGGGCCGCGCUGCCUUGUGAGGUAGAAGCCGGGGGCGGGGAAGCACCGCCUUUCUUCCGGUCCGGCUCGCGGAGAGCAGGAAGCGGGCGGAAGCAGGUGGCUCUCGCGAGCAUUUAGUCAGCCCAGCUAGGCUCGAACGGAGGGUGUUUCUUAAAGGGAGAGGCGCUUGGGUCAUCUUUUCCGUCCCACUUUCUUGAAUGGAAUGGACCUCUGAGGUUCCACGACGCGCCUCCACUCGAGCCGGGACGCGUGGUUUGAACUGCUUCUGAGAAGCCUCAAAGAGGCGCCUCGCGCUUUGCUGCUUCUUAGCAGACGGAGCGCUCGGGCCUGCGUGCAUCACGGCUGCACGGACUAGUGUUCAAGCUCUCCGCCAGGGUAUCCGAAUUGGGAAACUUCUCCCGGGUAGUCUGGGACCCCGACACCCUCGGGGACAAAAGAGCCACGCAGGUCCCGCCUUCCCGCUUUAGUGCUAAGAGAGGUUCACUUUGGACCUGGAACUUUACGAGGGGGAAGAAAGCAGAGACUGACUGAGUUUGGAGACCUGAAGUAUCUGAUGCCACGUAUGGUUUCGUCUGAGCUCCUGAGAGUGGAAGGGGGGAGAGUAUUGAAGCAAAAUGGGCAGCUGUCUUUUGGAGUUAGGCGUUGUAGUUGGCUACUUUAUGUCUCUUCACCUCAGCUGCAGUCAUUCAAAUAUUUGGGUCCGAACUGUUCCAGGCCGGGUUUUCUUGAGAAGAUUGAGCAGAACCAAACAGAAUCCUUGUUCUAGAGAGUAGGUCUUCCUAUAACAUGAAAAAAUAAUUAGCAGGAUGAGAGUGAGCCAUGCCCUUGGACCACCUGGAGAGGAGGUAAGUUCUUAAUGUUUCCAUUGCUGCCUUUUUUAACUAAGUAGAGAUCCUUGUAGAAUAGCUAGACAGAUGCUAAUCUUUUAGUUCAAAUCCAUAAAUAUUUAUUAUGUACUAGUUUUCUGUCUUGCACUGGGAUGAGUGCUGAAAUUUUUUUUUUUUUUUCCUGCCCUGUUGUGUGUGGAGUUCCUGGUCCAGGGAUCAGAUCUGAACUGCAGUUACUGUGGAAUACUGGACCCUUUAACCCAUGGCACCGGGCCAGGGAAUCUAACCUGCAUCCUGGCCCUGUAGAGACACCGCUGAUCCCCUUGUGCCACAGUGAGACCUCCUGAACGUUCUUUAGAUGUAGUGCAGUCCUUGAAUUUAUGGUCUUUUUUUUUUUUAGGGGAAAUAAGAUAUAGCAAUAUUGAACAAAUAGAUAACAAUAUAAAAGAAGUCCUGUUUAUAGGAUUGAGCCAGAAAUGAACAAAUUAAGCCUGGAACACCUUACUAUAUUAGUAAAAAAGGAAAUAAACAAAUACCACUGUGGUCUUUC